ensembl:lncRNA
AACAAUCGAUCCUGGCCAAAAUCGAACCAACGCCCAGCCAAUCACGUGGCGGUCCUCCGGUCAUGUGACGCAGACGGUUCAUCUCACAAGACCGGGGUCAACCACGGCUACCAGCAUGAACGACGGCGCUUCAGACCUUUGUAGCGAGGACCCGAUGCCAGGUCCAGUGGACCGACUUCAGACGUCUCUGUGUGUCCCGUCCUGUCCGGUCCUGUCUCUGGUCGCCAGGUUACAGACGCUGCUGCACCCGCACGUUUAAAAAUGUCUACACCUGAAACUCCACCACGUCUAAAGAAGCAAAAACGUUUGCAAAUGUACAGACUGGAGUGGGAAGAGUGGAACCCCUGGCAAUGGAUACAAGGCAAACUGUGUUUUCUGUUGCUCAUGGACUGGCUGAAGUAAGGCAGCAUCAGGAGACAAACAUGUAAGAAACAUGAGAACAGAGAGAACCCAACCAGCAGGUCACAGUUUAUCAUCAUCUAAUCAUCUCCUGAAGUCCAUAUGGUCCCUCUCUAUCUCCCCACACAUCCACCAACCACUGGAACACAUCUCCAAAGUUCUGCUGGGCCAGCUCAGCUUCCCCUCAGAAGAAGUGGCGCCACCUGCCAGAUGAAGGAGCCUUUUGAGAGGCAGCUGCCAUCGUGAUUGGACUGUACUUUGGUCUGUUCCAAUCCAGCUUCAGCUCCAGAGACGGCAGGCGGGACGAGUCAACGGAGGCCUGGUGGACGAAGGCAUGCAGCUGAGAACAAUACAGAAAACAACAGAGGAGGAGUGCAGCGGCCCAGAGCCAGAACAACCAGAGUAGCAUCAUAUGUCUCUUAGAAAACAUCAUAGUAUAGCCUUUGGUAUGAAAAAACGCCAUCAUAUACAUCGUAUAUUGUACAAAUAACAAGUCAAAGGAAAGAGACAU